GCCUAGAUCCCAUGCCACCUACCACUGUUGCACCAAUGCCCCUCUCAGCUCACACCUCGUGGGGGUCUCCCCGUGACCAGCUGAGAGGACGGACAAGGCUGAGGGGACGUGGUAAGGGUUCCACCCAACUUCAAGCUGCCGUUCUGCCUGUCUCUCUGGGCCCCCGUGCCAGUGGCGCAGCAGGCACAGAAAGGCGACUCCAUGCGGGCAGGAUGCGAGGUCCCGGCCAUCAUGAGGAACCAGUGCUGCUGGAUGGUGGGGACAGGGAGGGUGUGACGGGCACUCAGGUGUCCACCCAGCGAUUGUGACCAAGUGUGCUGGAGAAGAUGUGCCUGGAUGGAGGAGUGGAUGCACGAAGCAGGUGCGCCUGAGUGAUGGAAGGGGUGAGCUGCAGUCGAUGCCCCAUCCAGAUCCUGGUCCCCGGCCGGCGCACACGUCCGUCGGCAGCAGCGAGAGCGGCUGCUAGUGGCUCAUUGCUUCCCCUCCUCUCUGCACAGCUGACCUCAGCUAACGGCGCUGCCCGCCCUGGGAAGUUCUGCUCCGUCCCUGCCCCGUGGCGGCCCACAGCCAUGGCUGGUUAAAAAAGGGUUCCAGGGGCCAGCCCCAUUGCUCCAGCUUGGCAUAACUCGGUAGUGCCCGUUUUCUCUGGAACCUCUCCCUUGGGUCAGAGCCAGGCUGCCCUUAGCCGGACCCACACACCCUGCUCUGCCCUGUCCCCUGCCCUCACUCCCCUCGGCUUUCGUGUGGCUUGCUCCCUGAUAAGUUACUGUCCUCCGCUCUCUGCCUCAGUCUUAUCUGGUAUGGGGUUUCCUUUUGGGUAAUGAUGGAAAGUCACAUUAUUAUCUGGUCUUGGGGGGAAUAAUUACCUAAGCAAGACUGUCCUUGGAUCUAGAAGUGGGGAGAUUGGUUACUUUAUCUAAGAGCCACAGCCCCGCCUGAGAUGUUUAUCUCAGGGGGCAGAGAGAAAGGAGCCGACAGAGGCUGUGCUCCUGCGUCUUGUGCUCCGCGGCGGCGACACGGGGGUAUUGAUCUCCUUCUGGAACCCUCCAUGCAGUUUCCGUGACUGCCUCUUUCUCCUCAUUAAUGUAACACCUACUUUCUUUCUUGUGCCCACUACCCUCUAAAUGUCUCCCCACUUUCUAAACCCCGGGUUUCUCUGCAAGUUUCCCUUCCUUGAUGACAAGUGUGACUUCUGGAGAAGAUUCACCUUCUGGGAAUCCAGGGGUUUCUCCCGGCCCACGUGGACGGGGAGACGGGAUACAGAGUGUUGGGAGGUGAGAAGCAAGAAGGAACGUUCUGGAAACAUUAUCACCGCUCAGCCCUCAGUCCGACCCGCCUUCCCCAGGAGGCCCUGAGCUCUCCUCACGGGCUCCUGCUUCAUCUUCUGUAUUUUCUCCUUAACACCUAAGACUUGACGUGAUCUCCGGUCUGUGCCUGUUUGUUUAUUAGCUGUUUCUUCCACUGGAAGUCGGCCCCAGUAUUCACUGAGCAAACGGACAACCCUUCCUGGGUCAAUACAUG
rnacentral:lncRNA from 1 species